GCAUAUCAAUAAGCGGGAGGAAAAGAAACCAACAGGGAUUGCCUUAGUAACGGCGAGUGAAGCGGCAACAGCUCAAAUUUGAAAUCUGGACCUAGUCCCGAGUUGUAAUUUGCAGAGGAUGAUUUUGGCGCGGUGCCUUCCAAGUUCCCUGGGACGGGACGCCGGAGAGGGUGAGAGCCCCGUCAGGUUGGACACCAAGCCUAUGUAAAUCUCCUUCGACGAGUCGAGUAGUUUGGGAAUGCUGCUCUAAAUGGGAGGUAUAUGUCUUCUAAAGCUAAAUACCGGCCAGAGACCGAUAGCGCACAAGUAGAGUGAUCGAAAGAUGAAAAGCACUUUGGAAAGAGAGUUAAACAGCACGUGAAAUUGUUAAAAGGGAAGCGUUUACGACCAGACUUGUGCCGGUUGAUCAUCCAGCGUUCUCGCUGGUGCACUCUGCCGGCCCAGGCCAGCAUCAGUUCGCCGCGGGGGAUAAAGGCGUCGGGAAUGUGGCUCCCCCGGGAGUGUUAUAGCCCUUCGCGCAAUACCCUGAGGCGGACUGAGGUUCGCGCAUUCGCAAGGAUGCUGGCGUAAUGGUCGUCAACGACCCGUCUUGAAACACGGACCAAGGAGUCGUCUUCGUAUGCGAGUGUUCGGGUGUAAAACCCCUACGCGUAAUGAAAGUGAACGCAGGUGAGAGCUUCGGCGCAUCAUCGACCGAUCCUGAUGUUCUCGGAUGGAUUUGAGUAAGAGCAUACGGGGCCGGACCCGAAAGAAGGUGAACUAUGCCUGUAUAGGGUGAAGCCAGAGGAAACUCUGGUGGAGGCUCGCAGCGGUUCUGACGUGCAAAUCGAUCGUCAAAUAUGGGCAUGGGGGCGAAAGACUAAUCGAACCUUCUAGUAGCUGGGUUUCCGCCGAAGUC
rnacentral:rRNA from 1 species